CGCAUUAACGUUGUAGAUGUCUAUGGG
rnacentral:piRNA from 1 species